rnacentral:lncRNA from 10 species
GUGUGUCACAUCAACUGUCAUGUAUGCACUCUGUCUAUAUCAUGUUCAAAAGUAGGGAGAGUUGGGGGGGUGUUAUUUGUUUAUUAAGUAUCUCAUGUUACAUACUUUCAAAGAAAUUACCACUUAUUCUUUUGUAAAUAAUGUUUUAAGAAACGUGUCAUUUUAGUGUUUGUUCUCUAGAAAUGAUAAAUAAUUAAAAAUAGACCUGGACCACCAGCUUGCCAGAGGUUUAAUGAAGUUAUGAAAACUUUGUUGACCAAUAUAUCCUUUGGAAGAUUGACUUAGACCACCAUUGUCUAGUAAAACUCUCUGAGAUUAGGAAAACUUUCUAUAUCUGCUCUGUCUGAUGGUGUAACCCAUAGCCACAUAUGGCUAUCGAGUGCUUGAAAUGUUUCUUUUAUUACAGAAGUAACUAACAUUUUAAGUUAUUUGAGUUUGAUAAAUUUAAAUAUAAAUAUAAAUAGACUCAUGUGGUGAGAGAUGACCAUGUUGGGUGGACAUAUUUAGACAAAUGCUGAGAUUAAACGUAUACUUCAGAUUUUGUUAAAAAUUUCAUUCAGAGAACUAUAGAAAACUGAGAAGAAUAGUUAAUGUUUUGCUAAAACCCCAAGCUGAGUGUCUGGCACACAGGUGUCAUUCAGAGAGUGUUACAUUUUUCCCUUUCCUUCUUCUUACGAUGUUACAGUAUCACAGUGCAUAUAGGUAAUAUAUAGCAAAUUAAAACAUUAAACAUUUAGGCCAGGUGAGGUGGCUUACGCUUGUAAUCCUAGCACUUUGGGAGGCCGAGACGGGUUGCAUGAGCUCAAGAGUUUGAGACCAGCCUGGGCAACAUGGUGAAACCCCGUCUUUACAAAAAAUACAGAAAAAUUAGCUGGGCAUGGUGGUGUGGGCCUGUGGUCCCAACUACUUGGAGGGCCGAGGCAAGAGGAUCACUUGAACCUGGGAGGUCAAGGCUGCAGUGAGCCGAGAUCCUGCCACUGCACUCCAGCCUGGGUGACAAAGUGAGACCUUGUCUCAAAAAUAAAUGAAUAAAUAAAUAAAUAAAUAAAUAAAUAAAACAUUUAUAUUUGUUACAGGUUUUUAGCAUGAUGAGAAAGUAUGCAACAGGAAAAAAUCUUGUGAGUCAGUUGAAAUAGAUUCUUUUUAUAGUUCUAUGCGUAACUAAUACGGUAUUAGAAAGUAUUGCCUUCUUUCUUUUCUCUCCAAUAGUGGAAUGGGGAUGUAACCACCUUUCUCCCAUCUAAUACUGUGAUUUUACUAAGUUGAACCAUAUGACGUUGUAAAUUUUAUACCUUAAACGUGACAACUAUGAACAGUUUCAUUCAGUUCAACAGAUUAAUUAGGAAAAAUAAAUGGCACACUGAAGGAAAGGCAACGUGUAUUUUAGAAUGUAGUUAUUUCCCAAAUUGUUAAACACUUAUUAUUUUCAGAGAGUAUAUUUUUGGGUAAAAUAAAUAAAAAUGGAAGUGUCUAUAUAAAUAUGUUUAUCUGUGUGUGCAUGUAUAUAUGCAUAACUUGCCUCCAGGCUGUAAUGUAGAGGUUUAAGCUGCAUACUCUCUAGGAGCAUGACUUAAGAAAAAAGUUUAGUCUCUGUUUCUCUCAGUUCAUAUAUGGCUUACAUUUGCACAUAGUUGGGUAAUUACUAGACUGAAAAGCAUUAAUAUUGUCAUACAGAUGGUCACCUAUGUUGGAAGCUUAUGAAAGAACUCUAAAUUGCGAAAAGAUUAUUCUAAAUUCAGGAAAGCAUCAACUCCUCCUGUCUACUGUUGAUGGGCAUUUAGGUUGAUUCCAUGUCUUUGCUAUUGUAAAUAGUGCUGCAAUGAAAAUACACAUGCAUGUGUCUUUAUUGUAAAAUGAUUUAUAUUCUUUUCACUGCUUUUUGUUUUUUAAUAGAAUCUAGGUUUUGUGUCUUGCUUAAGAAUACCGUCUUAUCACCCAGGUAUGAAGCCCAUCACACAUUAGCUAUUCUUCCUGAUCCUCUCCCUUCUCCCACCCCCUGUCCUCCAACAGGCCCCAGAGAGUGUUGUUCCCCACCAGUGUUCAUGUGUUUUCAUCAUUUAACUCCCACUUAUAAGUGAGAACAUGCGGUAUUUGAAUUUCUUGAAACAUACAAAUUUCCAAAUCUGUCACAAGGAAUAGGAAAAAUUCCUAACACAUCAGUCAAUCUCAAUCAGAUAUGUUAGCUUUCUCUGGGAUCCACUGACAAUGUCUAGAGGCCUUUUUGUGUCGCAACUCAGGGGGAAAGGGUGCUAUUGGCAUCUGGUGAGUAGAGGCCAAGGAUGUUCCUAAACACCAUUCAAUCCUGUAAUAAAUAGGACAGCUCUACACAAAAAAGAAUUAUUCAGCCCCAAGCAUCAAUUGUACCAAGAUGGAGAAACCUGUUAAUACAACUUUUCUUGUUAUAUAAUUCUAAUUACUCAUCAAAAACCUUUGACA